rnacentral:rRNA from 1 species
AUGCAAGUCGAACGGGAAUUAGCUUCGGUUAAUUCUAGUGGCGGACGGGUGAGUAACACGUGAGAAUUCGCCUUUAGGAGGGGGAUAACGAAUGGAAACAUUCGCUAAAACCCCAUAUGCCCCUGGGUGAAAAAGAGGAGAUAAGUUAAACUAAGUCACCUCUGCCUGAAGAGAAGCUCGCGGCUGAUUAGCUAGUUGGUAGGGUAAUGGCCUACCAAGGCGACGAUCAGUAGCUGGUCUGAGAGGACGAUCAGCCACACUGGAACUGAGACACGGUCCAGACUCCUACGGGAGGCAGCAGUGAGGAAUUUUCUGCAAUGGGCGAAAGCCUGACAGAGCAAUACCGCGUGAGGGAUGAAGACUUACUGAGUUGUAAACCUCGGUACCUUAAGGAAGAAGAUAUGACGGUACUUAAGGUGGAAAGCAUCGGCUAACUCCGUGCCAGCAGCCGCGGUAAGACGGGGGAUGCAAGUGUUAUCCGGAUUUACUGGGCGUAAAGCGUCUGCAGGUGGUUUCUUAAGUCUACUGUUAAAUCUUGAGGCUCAACCUCAAAUCUGCAGUAGAAACUAGGAGACUUGAGUAUAGUAGGGGUAGAGGGAAUUUCCAGUGGAGCGGUGAAAUGCGUAGAUAUUGGAAAGAACACCGAUGGCGAAGGCACUCUACUGGGCUAUUACUGACACUCAGAGACGAAAGCUAGGGGAGCAAAUGGGAUUAGAUACCCCAGUAGUCCUAGCUGUAAACGAUGGGUACUCGAUGUUGGACGUAUCGACCCGUUCAGUAUCUUAGCUAACGCGUUAAGUAUCCCGCCUGGGGAGUACGCUCGCAGGAGUGAAACUCAAGGAAUUGACGGGGGCCCGCACAAGCGGUGGAGGAUGUGGUUUAAUUCGAUGCACGCGAAGACUUACCAGGUUUGCUAGAGUGUGGUUCCUGAAGAUCUAUCGCUCUACAGUGUGCAUGCUGUCGUCAGCUCGUGUCGUGAGAUGUGGUAGUCCCGCACGAGCGCACCUUAUUUUAGUCCAUGUCUAAAAGACUGCGGUGACAACCGAGAGGUGAGACACACUCAGU